UACGGGGGGGGGCGAGCGUUGUUCGGAAUUACUGGGCGUAAAGGGCGCGUAGGCGGUCUGCUAAGUUGGAUGUGAAAACUCUGGGCUUAACCCAGAGCCUGCAUUCAAAACUGACAGGCUAGAGUUCUGGAGGGGAUAGCGGAAUUCCUGGUGUAGCGGUGAAAUGCGUAGAUAUCGGGAGGAACACCUGUGGCGAAAGCGGCGCACUGGACCACAACUGACGCUGAGGCGCGAAAGCUAGGGGAGCAAACAGG
rnacentral:rRNA from 1 species